GAAUGACUACAAAAUGUAUAAAGUCCCGGUGGCCGCUAUCUACGGCGCUAUACCCUUGCCUCGGUCCUCCGCCGCCCCGCUCGUGCUAGGACCUGUAGGGUUAGUGGUGUGAGAACUACAACGAAGUUCCCAGUGGGCUCGGCAUCCGACCUCGCCGACUUACCCACUAGGUCUAUCCAGGCAUAAGUAUUUCAAGGAAAGAAAAGUAACCAGUACUAAUGCAUCUAAUACUAUGCCUGCAGAAGAAUGUCAGUGGAUACAAAUACUCAAUGCGAUAAGGAAAUGUGCAUGCAUGCUCAAUUCGUAAAUAAGCUUUGGCUCUUACCCAAUCUUACCGGUUAACCUUGUUAACCCCAAAAACUCAUAACCCAAAAUCCCUUUCUUUACCGGGGAGGCUCCAAGCACUACCGACCCGAGGGACCGUCUUCAGGGACCUCGCUCUCUGUGGUGUCGAUUUCCGAAACACACCGCUUGAGGAGGAGCGACCUCCCUCAAGUCAAGACUUAUUAUGAGUGUCGAUCAAAUCCCCGCGUUGAGGAUAUUAAGCCACUUGUCACGAUGCCACUUUUGUGAUAGGUUUUCUACCUAUGUUCUCAAGUCACUUUCUAGUCAAUCUCGUCACAAUGCCACUAUAGUUAAGUCUAUGUUUAGCAUCCGUUUAUUCAAGCCAAUCUAUCUCUCUAUGUCAUUGUCACCAUUUGUUUACUUGUGCUAAGUCCAAGUCUCACUAUCAUGCAAUUCCUAGGGUUCAAUAACACAUGUCCAUCGUGGUUCUAUUUCUCUCUAUUUUCAAAUACACUUGGAAUAAACAUAAUGAAAACAACCAAAGUUCACAUGUGAAUUAACCUUAAUAUGCAUGAAAGAAUAAACAACCAUAUGCUCAAGAAUAUAGAGAAAUAGACAUAGAAAGGAAUCCAACGAUUCCGGCGUGCACCCCCCACCUCUAAUAUUCGUAUGGGUGUAGAAUAUGAAGGCUCCCGCACUUUACGAAAGC
rnacentral:lncRNA from 1 species